rnacentral:lncRNA from 1 species
UAGUUUCAAUUAUUUAUUCAAAAAUCUUUAGGGGUGUGGCGAGUGUGGCUAGAAUAGUACUUUCUGUAGGACUUGUGUACAAUACAACACGCCAUGCAUGUCCAUAGAAAAAAAUAUAAUGAUACAAUAAUUUCUUGCCUUCUACUGGAGCAUUUAAUCAGGAGUAUAUAGUUUGAGAGAGAGUAGCGCACACAGAUUGAAUGAGGGGCCAUUUGAGAGGUUAUAUAUUGUUAUGUUCGCACCAAACCGAACCCAAAAUUAAUCCCGUGAAAACAAAGGCGAGACCCAAAAAAUACUACUAGAGCAAGAAAGAGGGGAACCAAAAAAUAACCAUGUCUUUAGUGUGGUUUGAACUUUAUGAGAUUGUUCUGGGUGCUUGGAAAAAAUAGAAAAAUGUGUGUGAGAGAAAGAAGGCAUGAGUGAGGUAUCCAUAUGGUGAUUUUGCACUAUGUCUAUAUCAAAUCACUUAAGCCUUGUUUGGAUGUGUAUAUAUUCAUCUCAAUCCAUAUGUGUCGGAGUGGAUUGAACUUAAUUCCAUUUCAAUUCACACCAACACAUGUGGAUUAAAGUGGAUACACAUGUAUCCAAACAAGACUAACUAAGAACAAAGCAUGGGUGGGGAGGAUUAUAAUCACAUUAUUUAGCGGUCAAGUGGGAAUUGGGAUGCAGAUAUAUCUAAUUGUUCCCUAGACCAUCUAGAGUUUGGAAUUAGUCCCGACCAUCCAAACCUCUUAAUAAACAAUGCAUGUAAAGUGAAGGACAGAGUGUUAUCCUUCUAAUUUGACACCCAACUCAACGCCAUAAGGUGUCCCGAGCCAAAUGGCGAUCACCUCCAUAUGCUGGCCACCUUGAGUUGGAGUCUCAUAGGUUCACCAGAAAUUUUUGUAUAUACUCUUGUUGAUGAAUAGUUUGCAAGGGAAAAAUCAGCACAAGAAGCACGCACCGCAAGGCCUGCAUUUGUAGAACAGUGAGAGCUAGCCUCCAGCUCUUCUUCUGGAAAACUGCACACAACUUUGGUAAAAAGCGUGUGGCUCCAACCAAAAGUGAGUAAACCAAACAAAUUAGCUAAGACGAAUGAUGCUUACUACAUGUACAAGGAAAGAAAAAAAACAGC